rnacentral:rRNA from 1 species
UACGAAGGGGGCUAGCGUUGUUCGGAUUUACUGGGCGUAAAGCGUGCGCAGGCGGUUCGGAAAGAAAGAUGUGAAAUCCCAGAGCUUAACUUUGGAACUGCAUUUUUAACUACCGGGCUAGAGUGUGUCAGAGGGAGGUGGAAUUCCGCGUGUAGCAGUGAAAUGCGUAGAUAUGCGGAGGAACACCGAUGGCGAAGGCAGCCUCCUGGGAUAACACUGACGCUCAUGCACGAAAGCGUGGGGAGCAAACAGGAUUAGAUACCCUGGUAGUCCACGCCCUAAACGAUGUCAACUAGCUGUUGGGGCCUUCGGGCCUUGGUAGCGCAGCUAACGCGUGAAGUUGACCGCCUGGGGAGUACGGUCGCAAGAUUAAA